rnacentral:rRNA from 1 species
UACGGAGGGUGCAAGCGUUAUCCGGAUUCACUGGGUUUAAAGGUCGCGUAGGCGGACAGGUAAGUCAGCGGUGAAAUCUCUGGGCUUAACUCAGAAACUGCCGUUGAUACUAUUUGUCUUGAAUAUCUUGGAGGUAAGCGGAAUAUGUCAUGUAGCGGUGAAAUGCUUAGAUAUGACAUAGAACACCGAUAGCGAAGGCAGCUUACUACAGGAAGAUUGACGCUGAGGCACGAAAGCGUGGGGAGCAAACAGG